GCUUACGGCCAUACCACCGAGCACACCCGAUCUCAUCUGAUCUCGGGAGCUAGACAGGGUUGAGCUUGGUUAGUACUUGGAUGGGAGACCGCCUGGGAAUACCAGGUGCUGUAAGCU
rnacentral:rRNA from 1 species